UUUUCUUCUUUCUUCUUCUUCUUCUUUCUUCUUCUUCUCCUUCUCUGCUCGUUCUUCUGCUGAGAGUCUGUGAGAGCUAAUCGAGUGAUCAGUUGUUUACUCGUGUUCGGUUAAUGAAGGUUGAUGUUGCUGCAAUCGAUUGAGUUAUGGAGGCGGAAAGUUAGGGUUUGAGGAAUAAAUGAGUUAAGGUUUGAUUUGAGGUUCAGAGAAGAAUUAGAAGAUAAAGAUGAUGGAUUCGGGGAAUUGAAUUAAGAUGGGGUUGUUCUUAAUUAACGUUUCAUUGAAGCUACAGGGUUGUUUGAGGAUUGGAUAUGAUAUUAGGGUUUCUGAAUUUGAUUCAGAGAUGAGUUCGAAGAAGAAUUAAGAGAUGGAAUUGGUAUUCUAGGAGAAGGAAUUGAGAUGGGUUUAUGUCUAAUUGAGCUAUGAAGUUGAUUCAGUGAAGAAUCGAGGGGUUAGCGUUUCUGCAUGUUGUGUUGGAAUUCGAUUUGAGUAAGAGUUAAGAAGAUUGGUGGUGGUGCUGGAGUUGAUUGAGGUCGGGAAACCGAAAGAAGGUGAAUCAAGUAGAUCUGGAAUUAGAUUUAUCUUGUUCUGAAUUUGAAUUAUAUGUUUUGGUUUCUGAAUUAGGGUUCAAUAGAAUUGUUAUGAAGAUUGAUAUUUGUUUGUGUUGUUGGUGAAAGAAGAAUGAAGCAAUUUCAGUUAGGGUUCUUAAUAAAAUGAAGUUAGGGUUCAUGGGUUUGAGCUGCAAGUGAAGGAAUGUCAAUUCAAUGGAUGUUGUUACUGGGGUAAGCUUUUAAUUGCAUUAAUUGUGAUACAUGAAAGAUGAAUCAUUGAAUUGUUGAGUUUUAUAGUUGUUAUUGAAAUUGUAUUCUGAGAUGGAUAUAGAGCAGAACUGUGGAUGAAGUAGGUUUGUAUUGAAUUACUUCGAACUAGAUUAAAUAGAGAAAGUACAAGAAAAUAUGAAGGUUGAAUUGGUGCUGCAGGAAUUAGAAUGUCUGCAAGUGGUGGUGUUCAUGAGUAACAUGACUUUAGAAAUGGAAUUGUAAUUGUGAUUAUUACUGCAGGGCAUAGAUGUGGUCUUAAACUCAGCUGGAAAUGCAACUGGUGAUGGUGCUUUUGUAUUCUGACUGGCAGUUGAAGUGAAGAACAUGUUUGAGAUGUAUAAUGGGGUGGUUCUGUAAUUGUUGUUGGCGCUUAAGGGAUGGUAGUGAUGAAUUGAACUGAGAUUGCUGGUGGUGAUGGUUUGUUUAGGUCAUGGUAAUGUGGUGUAGUGAAAUAUGGUGGUAUGAGUUAUAGGAAUGAAUGUAUAGAUUUUCUUGUUGAAUGGAACUGUGUUAGUAGUGAAGAUUAUUUAAUUGGCAGAGAUUGGAUGUGGGUCUAAGUGUAUGAAUUAUAGAUGGAAAAAGUGAUUGAGUUGAGAUAAGUCUGGUGGCAGAUGAAGAUAAAUCAGAUUCAGAGUUGGAGAUGGCGCUGUUGUUGUGUGUUGAAUUUAAAGAGAAGAGAAUAUGUGAGAGUAGUGAUUGUAGAAUCCAUUUUGGGUAGUCUCUUUGAAAGCUUGCUACCACUGCAAUUGAAGUUAGCCAAUUAACAACGAUCGAUUCAAAGGAUGAAGCAGUGAUCGUGGAUCUCGAGGUAGGCGUGGCUUGUCAUCAAAAGAGGGUUUGAAAUAUUUGGAGAUUAAAAGACAUUAUUGGAAUGAAGAUCUAGAAGUACCUACGGUUGGGAAAUACAACAAACUCAACCAUAAAACUGGGAAGAUAACACCAAUUCUUUCAGAGUUACGGUUGGGAAAUCAUAUUAACCCAACCGUAGAUGAACCAGGUGGAAGAAUUGUCAGAGUUACGGCGACGAAAUCAAGCCGUAUGCAAAUCCAGGGAUACUUACGGUUUGAAAAUCAUUUAAAACCCAAUCGUAGGAACAAAUGAGAAGAUAUGAAGGAUUUUAAAACACCAUCUUGUAGAGGACGACGAUACGAAGAGAACACAAAAAUAAUGAGCUUAGUCAGUCGUCGGAUGAAGCUCAUUAUGGCCAAAAUGGUGAAGCAAGACAAAUGAGGAGAUUCAGAAGCACCAAACGUAGGCAAACUCAUGGGGACUUACGGUGGAGAAACCCAACCGUAGGUAAAGUCAGGGGAACUUUCGGUUGGGAACACGGGGAAACCCAACCGUAGACAAUUCGAGUUGUACGAAUUCUGGACUUUUAAAACUUGUAAAACUUGAUCCCGGAAGGAUUCUAAACCCUAGAUAUCAUGAGCACUAUAUAAGAAGACCCUCAAUACAUUAAGAGGGGAUAUACUACACCUUGGGAGACACAAUUCUAUCUCACAUAUUACAUCUUCUACAUCAAAACCUAGGGUUCACCCUUUAGGGGGAACCCAUUCUAUUUUGUAAUCAUGUGCAGCUAAACCUUCUUUGAUUAAGGAUGAAUUCAAUGUUCUAGACGUGAUAUUUAUUA